GGGUGAUUCUUCUGGAAUAAUUCAUGUGGCUGCAAUUGGAGCUGGAUGAUCUAAAUGGUCUCACUCCUAGGUCUGGCUGUUGAUGUUGGCUGUUGGCUGAGCCAGGGGCUGCCAGCAGGCUAGCAUGGGCUCUUCACUCAGCAGCAGGGUUCCAAGAGGACAAGCCCAACACACAUGUGCUUUUCAAGCCUGUGAUUAUCAGGCUUGAAAUACUGCAACAUCUGCUGCAAUCAGUAACAACCACAUAAGAAAGCAAUGACAAGUUAUGAUUACUGCUCUGAAGGGAGUGAGCAGGAUGCUGUGAGAGAGGGUUACUAUUCCAAGUGGCACCUGGGCCAGCAGCAUUGGCAUCACCUGGGACUUGUGAGCAAUCCAGCAUCUCAGGCUCCACUGCAGGUCUCCUAAAUCAGAAUCUACAGUUUAACAAGAUCCCCAGCAGAUGUGUGUGUAAGGUUUAUAGAGAGAAAAUUCAAGCCUCAACAGGCCAGCUCAAGAACCUGUUGAGAGGAGCACCUAGCAUAAGACCUGGCUUGUGACAGCUGCUCGUGGCAUGCCCUUCUCCACUAAGCCAACUUGUUAAACCUCUUCACGGCUGAGAUCAUGCUGCUUUCUUCUUCAGAUCUGCGACCCUCUAGCUGGGUGACUUUUAGACAAGUGAUCUGACCUCUCUGAGCCAGAGUUUCUACCUUGUAAAAAAAAAAAAAUCCCUUCCUGCAUGGUCAGCUGUCAUGAAAAGGACACAUGGUGAUGGGCAGACAAAGACAAGGCUUAGCUUCGUGUUUGACUCCUAGGAGCGCCCAGUUCAUGGAGGCUGCUGCUGUUACUAAUCUGUUUCCAUCUUCCCCUGGGAAUCCUGAGGUUUAUCUGUGAGCCUUUGGACUGCUGUAUGGACAACAUACUCUGCAGUAGCAUGAAGAAGUGAGUGAAGACCCUCCCUUGAACCGUUUGCCCUGAAAGAACAGAAGUCACAUCUUGAUAUCUCAGUGCCUUUACAGUGCCAGGGAUGGGGUAGGUGCUGAGCGCCUGGUAUGUGCUCACCCUAUGCUGUACAACACACAGAAAGCCCCACAGGGUUUGAACUGUAAUUAGGUAGAGGGUGUGUGGGACUUGCCUUGGGUCUCU
rnacentral:lncRNA from 1 species